rnacentral:rRNA from 1 species
AGAACGAACGCUGGCGGCAGGCCUAAUACAUGCAAGUCGAACGCACUCUUCGGAGUGAGUGGCAGACGGGUGAGUAACGCGUGGGAACCUUCCCAAUGGUACGGAAUAACUCCGGGAAACCGGUGCUAAUACCGUAUAAGCCCCUCGGGGGAAAGAUUUAUCGCCAUUGGAUGGGCCCGCGUCGGAUUAGCUAGUUGGUAAGGUAAUGGCUUACCAAGGCUACGAUCCGUAGCUGGUCUGAGAGGAUGAUCAGCCACACUGGGACUGAGACACGGCCCAGACUCCUACGGGAGGCAGCAGUAGGGAAUCUUGGACAAUGGGCGAAAGCCUGAUCCAGCCAUGCCGCGUGAGUGAAGAAGGCCUUAGGGUUGUAAAGCUCGUUUUGGCGGGGACGAGUAAUGACGGUACCGCAGAAUAACGCCCGGCUAACUUCGUGCCAGCAGCCGC